UACGUAGGGUGCAAGCGUUGUCCGGAAUCAUUGGGCGUAAAGAGCGCGUAGGCGGCCCGGAAAGUCGGAUGUGAAAACCUGGGGCUCAACCCCAGGCCUGCAUCCGAUACUCCCGGGCUCGAGGCAGGUAGGGGAGAUCGGAAUUCCUGGUGUAGCGGUGAAAUGCGCAGAUAUCAGGAGGAACACCGGUGGCGAAGGCGGAUCUCUGGGCCUGUCCUGACGCUGAGGCGCGAAAGCUAGGGGAGCGAACAGG
rnacentral:rRNA from 1 species